rnacentral:tRNA from 1 species
CCGACUUUAGCUCAGUUGGUAGAGCGAAAAUCCAUUCUAGAAUGCUGGUAUCCUUAGGUCGUUGGUUUGAAUCCGGUAGGUCGGA